rnacentral:pre_miRNA from 1 species
CCUACAGCGGUUAUUGGCAUUCUGCCCACCUCCAACCCUUCCUCUCUCAUGGCACCAAGAGCGUCAAAGACAUGGAGGUGGGCAGCCUGCCAACCGACCUCUGUUGG